GUUUUUAGCUCACCUGGCCCGAAGGGCCAAGUGAGCUUUUCCCAUCACUUUGCGUCCGGCGUCCGUCGUCGUCCGUCGUCCGUCGUCGUUAACUUUUGCAAAAAUCUUCUCCUCUGAAACUGCAGGGCCAAAUUUAACCAAACUUGGCCACAAUCAUCAUUGGGGUAUCUAGUUUAAAAAAUGUGUGGCGUGACCCCACCAACCAACCAAGAUGGCCGCCAUGGCUAAAAAUAGAACAUAGGGGUAAAAUGCAGUUUUUGGCUUAUAACUCAAAAACAAAAGCAUUUAGAGCAAAUCUGACAUGGG
rnacentral:lncRNA from 1 species